rnacentral:rRNA from 1 species
UACGUAGGGGGCAAGCGUUGUCCGGAAUCUUUGGGCGUAAAGGGCGUGUAGGCGGCCAGAUAAGUCCGCUGUGAAAUCUCGAGGCUCAACUUCGAGCUGUCGGUGGAAACUGUCUGGCUAGAGUCCGGAAGAGGAGAAUGGAAUUCCUGGUGUAGCGGUGAAAUGCGCAGAUAUCAGGAAGAACACCCGUGGCGAAGGCGGUUCUCUGGGACGGUACUGACGCUGAGACGCGAAAGCGUGGGGAGCGAACAGG